CAACUUUCANCAACGGAUCUCUUGGCUCUCGCAUCANAUGAAGAACGCAUCGAAAUGCGAUAAGUAAUGUGAAUUGCAUAAUUCAGUGAAUCAUCGAAUCUNUGAACGCACCUUGCGCUCCUUGGUAUUCCGAGGAGCAUGCCUGUUUGAGUGUCAU
rnacentral:rRNA from 1 species